rnacentral:rRNA from 1 species
CCUUUGACGUUAGCGGCGGACGGGUGAGUAACACGUGGGUAACCUACCUAUAAGACUGGGAUAACUUCGGGAAACCGGAGCUAAUACCGGAUAAUAUUUCGAACCGCAUGGUUCGAUAGUGAAAGGNGGUUUUGCUAUCACUUAUAGAUGGACCCGCGCCGUAUUAGCUAGUUGGUAAGGUAACGGCUUACCAAGGCGACGAUACGUAGCCGACCUGAGAGGGUGAUCGGCCACACUGGAACUGAGACACGGUCCAGACUCCUACGGGAGGCAGCAGAC